GCGGAAAUGGCGGAAUGGCAGACGCUGCGGUCUUAAAAACCGUUGGGGGUAACCCCGUCCGGGUUCGAGUCCCGGUUUCCGCA
rnacentral:tRNA from 1 species